GUAGUUGAUCCGUGGCUCAGGACACGCUGGCGGCGUGCUUAACACAUGCAAGUCGAACGAUGAACCGGUUUCGGCCGGGGAUUAGUGGCGAACGGGUGAGUAACACGUGGGCAAUCUGCCCUGCACUCUGGGACAAGCCCUGGAAACGGGGUCUAAUACCGGAUAUGACCACCGGCCGCAUGGUCUGGUGGUGGAAAGCUCCGGCGGUGCAGGAUGAGCCCGCGGCCUAUCAGCUUGUUGGUGGGGUGAUGGCCUACCAAGGCGACGACGGGUAGCCGGCCUGAGGGGGCGACCGGCCACACUGGGACUGAGACACGGCCCAGACUCCUACGGGAGGCAGCAGUGGGGAAUAUUGCACAAUGGGCGCAAGCCUGAUGCAGCGACGCCGCGUGAGGGAUGACGGCCUUCGGGUUGUAAACCUCUUUCAGCAGGGAAGAAGCGCGAGUGACGGUACCUGCAGAAGAAGCACCGGCUAACUACGUG
rnacentral:rRNA from 1 species